rnacentral:sRNA from 1 species
GUGAAUCCCUAUCCACACUGACGUCAGCCUCACUUCCGAAGACUCGAAUCCACAAAACCCGUGAAAAUGUCAUGUUGGGAGCUCGAGAUUUGUCAAAUGUGCUCGAUAUUAUCACUUCAGCCCAACGGCAAUGGGAUUUAAACGAGAAAAAGGAAAAAGUGGCGGCUGUUCAUGCUACGAAUCUCUCGAAAGAUCAGUCUGGAGCCGCUGGUGGACAACAGCAACGUUCCGGUUAUUCUAGAUAUGCUCAGGAAGCUUUUGCUCAU